GCCAGGUGUGGUGCCACACACCUGUAGUCCCAGCUACUCAGGAGGCUGAGGUGGGAGGAUCGCUUGAACCCGGGAGUUCAAGGCUGCAGUGAGCCGUGAUCCCACUACUGCACUCCAGCCUGGGUGACAGAGUGAGAACCUGUCUCUA
ensembl:misc_RNA Metazoa_SRP Metazoan signal recognition particle RNA